CAACCCUCAAGCCCCGCUUGGUAUUGGGCCCUGCCGCCUGGCCGGUCCCAAAGACAGUGGCGGCGCCGCCCGGCCCCGAGCGCAGUACAGCUCUCGCUCCAGGGUCGUGCGGUGACCUGCCAGAACCUCAACUCUGU
rnacentral:misc_RNA from 1 species